UACAGAGGGUGCGAGCGUUAAUCGGACUUACUGGGCGUAAAGGGUGUGUAGGUGGUUGUAUAAGUUAGAUGUGAAAGCCCCGGGCUCAACCUGGGAACUGCGUUUAAGACUGUAUAACUAGAGUACUGUAGAGGAUAGUGGAAUUUCCAGUGUAGCGGUGAAAUGCGUAGAGAUGUGGAGGAACACCGAUGGCGAAGGCAGCCCCCUGGGUCAACACUGACGCUCAUGCACGAAAGCGUGGGGAGCAAACAGG
rnacentral:rRNA from 1 species